rnacentral:rRNA from 1 species
UACGUAGGUGGCAAGCGUUGUUCGGAAUUAUUGGGCGUAAAGGGCGCGUAGGCGGUCUUGUAAGUCAGCUGUGAAAACUCGGGGCUCAACUCCGAGCUUGCAUUCGAUACGGGCAGGCUAGAGUUCGGUAGGGGGAGACUGGAAUUCCUGGUGUAGCGGUGAAAUGCGCAGAUAUCAGGAGGAACACCGGUGGCGAAGGCGGGUCUCUGGGCCGAUACUGACGCUGAGGAGCGAAAGCGUGGGGAGCGAACAGG